AUUGAACGCUGGCGGCGUGCCUAACACAUGCAAGUCGAGCGGUAACAGGUGUAGCAAUACAUGCUGACGAGCGGCGAACGGGUGAGUAAUGCUUCGGAAUCUACCCUCUAGUGGGGAAUAACCAGCCGAAAGGUUGGCUAAUACCGCAUACGUCCUACGGGAGAAAGCAGGGGAUCGUAAGACCUUGCGCUGAUGGAUGAGCCGAAGUCGGAUUAGCUAGUUGGUGGGGUAACGGCUCACCAAGGCGACGAUCCGUAGCUGGUCUGAGAGGACGACCAGCCACACUGGAACUGAGACACGGUCCAGACUCCUACGGGAGGCAGCAGUGGGGAAUAUUGGACAAUGGGGGAAACCCUGAUCCAGCGACGCCGCGUGUGUGAAGAAGGCCUGCGGGUUGUAAAGCACUUUUAGUGGGGAUGAAAUGUGCAGGGUUAAUACCUCUGCAUUUUG
rnacentral:rRNA from 1 species